rnacentral:lncRNA from 1 species
UGUAGUUUUGGUUUCUGGUUCAUGUACAUAUUUAUGCUGUUACUCACUGGAGCGAGAGAUGUUGUAUCAGGGAGACUUUGUAUGUAUGGUGAAUCUGAUGUUUAUUUAUAUGCAGUUCAGUUUAGUAGCUCUAUACUACUAAUUGUAGUUUUGUAUGAUUACAGAUACAGGUACAGCUAUUACUUCGUAUACAGAGGAAAUUCUUUUAUAUACGGUGGGUCUGUUGGCGUGCCUGGAAAAUCGUGGUAAUCCGGGGCGUGACAGAUUAAGUUAGUAUCAGAGCUUAGUAUUAGGUCGUUGGGACCUAGAAAACUUUAUGCUUGGCAAACCAUAGGAAGGCAAGACGCGAGAGGCGUGAUUUAUCACGAAUGUCAGCGAUUGAAUUGUUUUAACUUAUCCUAAAGUGGAGUGAGUCACUGAAGGAGUGUCUGUUUCUGUCACGCCCCGGGGCUCAGUGGAAGCCUACCCGGCGCGUGUCCAGACCCGCCAUACGUCUAAAACAUAUAAGGCGUCUACGAAAUUUUCGAUGGAUAAAACAAUAAAUAAAGCGGUAAUAAAAGGCAACUAGGAGUAUCAGAGCAUGAUAUAAUACUAAGUUCUACAACAGAAAAAAGGACAUAAAGCUGAAAGUCCACUAAAUAAGAACAUAGAGUAAGUACAAAAGGAAACCCAUAACAAGUGCUAAAAGUAGAUACAUAGGUGGUCUCUAUACAUGGAUACAGAACCUCUCACUCUCUCAACUCACAAAAAGAAAGAGCGAACCACCUAGGCAAAGAACCGCUCCUCGCUAGCUAGCUAUGCGAUCCCCUUGCCGCGAUCCCGUGCCUCCGCCGGUGCAGAAGGCUCUGAAAAGUAAACCAUAAAACAGGGGCGUGAGAACUAUUAAAAAUAGUUCCCAGUGGGCAAUUACUGACUUCAGUGAAUGCACCACAAGGCCCAAGCUACAAGGAAAAGGGUCAGUGUCUAUGAACGUAUGAAAGUGAAAGGUAAGUAGAAUGCAACUUACUACAACAUGAUAUUUCUACUUAGCAUGCAAGGCAUAAGUAUGAAAGCAACUAUGUAUGUAGUAAAAGUUUCAAACUAUCAUGAUGUCCAUAAUGCAAAAUAGUAAAGUGCCAAUGUUUACUAUUCUAGUCAAAUUCCAGUCAGUACACUAAGUCAUCAUCUGUCCAUAUGUCAUAGUAAAUGCUCAAAGUCAAAUCUGAAGAGACCCACCCGAAGGCUGUCUAAGGCCCUGAGACCCACCCGUAGGCUGUCUGGCCGGUGCCGAGCCUAAUGGCCCCGUGGUAGUCAUCAUCCCCACCCUAGGAAUGAGCCUGGCCCACGGCAAUCCACUUCGGCGCCCAAUCCCGCACGGCGAAUAUGAAUCGCGAUGGCUAUCUCCGGAGUGCCGGCUUGUAGGGAGCGACCCUCACAAGCAUGUGCGAAUGAGCACAAUGGCAAGUAGUCAAACGAUCUGUCACAAGUACCAAGUCCUCAUGUCUAAUAACAUGGAAUAUAUCACCAAUCUCAUAGGCCUAUCUCUAGGUCGUCAUGUCUCAAAUAUGGAAUAUAGUAAAUGUCAUCGUGGUCAAGUCACUAUUUCAUCAUAUCUUAAAUAUGGAAUAUAUUUGAUGUCCACGUGGCCUAUUAUCAAGCCUCUAUGUUGCAGUUUAAUAAUUCUCUCGGCCAAGUGCCUCUUUAUGACACUAUGGCUCAUUUUGUCCCAACAUGGAUACUAAGUUCAAGCACUUAUAAUUCUAGUCAAAAUCGAAGCAAGCAACAUGAUUUCCUACCAUCUCAUAGAAUGUUCGUCGCAUGCAUCUUAACAAAGCACAUUGUCUCUCUCCAUUAUAUAGAGUAAAUUUUCUUGAUGCAUAACAUAUGAGUUCUAAGCAUUCAAAAAUUCUCAUAAAUGCUACUAAACAUGAAUAUGCAUGAACUUAUGGUAAAUGAAAGCAUUUAACCGCACAGGAGGAAUUUCCUCCCAUUUCAAAUAAGCCAAACCCACCGAUGACAACGAAACUCCUCGUUUGCUCCAACGAGGGUGUCCUCUAGUCUCCUAAUACCCUAAGGAUGUAGGAACAAGCGUUACUUGAAUGAAACAAACAAUCAAUAGCUCAAACAUUGACCAUCUCAUACUAAGGGCAAAAACUCACGUCUUAUGGAAAAUCUCUUCACAAGCUCAAAAAGGAGGUUAGAACCCUUCCAAUCCAAUCUAGAGGAAGAUUCUAAUUCAAGGAAUCAAGCCUCAAAUGCCCUAAAACGAAAAUACCGAAAUAAACCCUAAAUUUUCAUUUCUAGGGUUUGAUCUCACAAAAACCUCAAAUCAAGGAUCAAAGGGAGAAAUCGAGUCUCUAACCUCUCAAGAAGCUCCCAACUUAGCUCCAAUCCAAGUGAUGUUGAAGAUCUCCGCAGCCACUAGCUCCUCUCCAAGCUCUAAGCCAUCAACAAUGGUGGAGAAGCCACCAAGAUGCAAUAGAGGAGAGAAAACCCAAUAAAAACCAAGCAAAAUGAGUAAAAAUACAAAGGAAGGGAGAGAGAGCUCCUCCUACCUCAACUCCUGCUGGUCUCAGCACAGGGGAGGCCCUAAGGGGCGUGGGGUGCACUUAUAGAAGUGCUAGAAACGCAAAAAGCCCCCUGCAGUUCAAACUGCUCAAAAUCCGCCACCUUGUACCGGUACACGGGCCCUUGUACCGGUACAAGGCCCACGAAACUGCCAAACCCGAGUUGCGGGUCUGCUGGAAAACUGCCCUUGUACCGGUAUAAGACGAGCCUUGUACCGGUACAACCAUCAGCCCUGUACCGGUACAGCCAUCAACCUUGUACCGGUACAGCACCCUGCUGAGGCUAACCUGAGAGCUGUCCAAUGAAUCCAAUUUUUGGAUUUUGGUACCAAGCUUAAAACCACAAUUCUCGGGAUGCGAGCCAUAGGUCGGAACACUGUCUACGACCUUCCAGAAAGUCUGAAAAAGCUCGACACACAGAUCAAACACUCGAACCUCGCAAUUUGCAAAGGUCCAGUGUGUUACAGUUUCGGCCAAGGAAAUUAUGUCGACUGCAGACGACAUAAUUUUGAGGAGAAACAGGAGCGGCCUUCUAGACUUUCGCUUGAUUGGGUCGAGAGUUGAUUGUGUUUUGUAUCUGACCCUUGUUUUGAUUUCAGGUAGCCAUGUAUCGAUGCCGAGGUCGACCGCCGACGCGGGAUCGUGCCGCACCAUUAGAGGUGCCUGAGUAGGCAGGGCUGAGUGUACCCCCUGAUCUGAGAGACAGUUGGCUGCCUUGACUGAGACAACGAGGCAGCACGGGGCACUGUAAUAGAGGAUGUGUGAGACAUUUACUCCACCGCCAAGCGCAGCGCCUAGAGCACUAGAGCAGUCAGCACCACCACCGACUAUUCCCGUAGCCGCACCAGCCACAUCUGUACCCCCACAAGUGACAGUUCCUUCGGCGCCAGUUGCAUUCUAUGGAGAGGCGUCGCAAAUGUCUAAGGCUGAGCAGGAGCGGAUGAUUGAGAGGCUUACUUGUUUUCGUCGGUUUGAUCCGCUGUACUUUGACGGUAGCUGUACGGAGCACUGGGUUGUAGAGGGCUGGGUAAGCGCGAUGGAGAAAUUAUUUGAGGAUUUGUUUAUAUCGGAGCUGGAUCAAGUACAUCUGGGAGUGCAUUGUUUGGCUUGCGAUGCGCAUUCUUGGUGGAGGAGGAUAAUGGACUCUACAGCAGCCGGCCAGGUGGUGGCAGGUAUCAUUUUGAUUUCUGGUAUUAGAGCUCGUACCUUAUUUGAUACCGGCAUAUCAUAUUCUUUUGUUAGCCGAGCAUUUACAUCAUUGCAUGGUCUAGAGGUAGGGUCGUUGUUGCAUGCACGAGAGGUGCAGAUUUUCGACCAUAUUUUGCAGGUAGCAGAGUGUUGUUGGUCGUGUCCGGUGCAGUUGGGCUCCUGGAUUAUGCCCACAGACUUAUUGGUCUUAGAGCAGCUGUAGUACUUUGAUGUUGUGCUUGGUAAGGAUUUGCUGGUGCGAUACUAUGCUACGAUCGACUGUGGAGCGAGGAUAGUGACGUUCCGCGAGCCAGGCCAUGAGGAGUUCACGUAUAGAGGCUGCAGGAGUACGUUGUUUGCCACUUGGAUUUCGUCGGCGAGGGCUCGACAGUUGAUGAGUGGAGGAUGCACUGCUUUUCUGGCGACGGUUGUAGAGGUGCCUACGGCGGCGCCAGGACACGAGGGUAUCCCUAUAGUUCGCGAGUUUUUGGAUGUUUUCUCCUCGGAGUUGACGACUUUACCGCCGGAUAGAGAGAUCGAGUUUGUGAUUGACGUAGUUCCUAGAACUUCGCCAAUCUCGAAGGCACCCUACUGAAUGGCACUGACAGAGCUAAGAGAGCUGAAGGCGCAGCUUCAGGAUCUGAUGGAUAAGGGAUAUGUGAGACCCAGUGUAUCGCCUUGGAGAGUGCCGGUGUUAUUCGUGAAGAGAAAGGAUGGUUCACUUAGAUUGUGUGUGGAUUAUCGGGAGUUGAAUAAAGUGACUAUCAAGAAUAAGUAUCCUUUGCCGUGUAUUGAUGAUCUGUUUGAUCAGCUGCAAGGAUCUUGUAUCUUUUCAAAGAUUGAUCUCCAGUUAAGUCACCACCAGUUGAGGGUGAGGGCCGAAGAUGUUUUCAAGACGACUUUUCGUAUUAUGAGUUCACUGUGAUGCCUUUUGGAUUGACGAAUGCCCCUGCCGCAUUUAUGGAUUUGAUGAAUAGAGUGUUCAAGCCGUACUUGGAUAGAUUCGUUGUUGUAUUCAUUGAUGAUAUUUUGAUAUACUCCUAGAGUGAUGUUGAGCAUUAGGAGCACUUGAGGAUAUUGUUACAGCUUUUGAGGGAGAAGAAGUUGUAUGCUAAAUUGAAGAAAUGCAAGUUUUGGCUGCAGGAGGUUUCUUUCUUAGGCCAUGUGAUUUCUGCAGUUGGAGUAGCAGUGGACCCGAAGAAGAUUGAUGUUAUUUGGGAUUGGCCCAGACCGACGACGGUGACUGAGGUAAGGAGUUUCCUUGGACUAGCUCGAUUUUAUCUUAGGUUUGUGGAAGGCUUUGCGAAGCUUUCCAUACCCCUCACUCGAUUGACUCGAAAGGGAAUUAAGUUUAUUCGGAGUGAGGAUUGUUAGAGGAGCUUCGACGAGUUGAGACUGAGGCUAAUAUCAGCUCUUAUCCUUGCCCUUCCAGUUAUGGGGGAAGGAUUUGUGAUCUACAGUGAUGCAUCACACAGCGGGCUGGGUUGUGUGUUGAUGCAGCAUGGUAGGGUAAUUGCUUAUGCUUCCUGACAAUUGAAGGAUUACGAGAAGAAUUACCCUACGCAUGACUUGGAGCUUGCUACAGUGAUUUUUGCCUUGAAGUUGUGGCGGCAGUAUUUGUAUGGCGAGCACUGUGAGGUUUUCACUGAUUAUAAAAGUCUCAAGUAUUUAUUCACCCAGAAGGAGUUGAAUCUGAGGCAGCGCCGGUGGUUGGAGUUAUUGAAAAAUUAUGACGUUAGUAUUUAGUAUCAUCCUGGCAAAGCGAAUGUGGUGGCAGAUGCGUUGAGCAGGAAGUCAGUGCAGAGCUUCAGCAUGUUGAUUACUUAGCGGAGACCGUUACUUGAGGAGCUACAGCAGUUGAGGCUUGAGAUAGUGUCCCCUCGGUCUAUUACGAAACUGAUGUCUAUGGUCUUGUAGCCCACUUUGUCGGACAGGAUCAUGGAGAAACAGAGUAGAGACUCUCACUUGUUGAGGAUUCGAGAGCAGUUAGAGAGGGGACAGGCAGAGGACUUUUCAGUGGACAGUUCGGGAGUACUCCGGUACAAGGACUCCUAUGAAUUCAGAGAUCUGAGAGGAGAUUUUGAGAGAGGCUCAUUACUCACUUUAUACGGUUCACCCCGGUGGAACCAAGAUGUAUAAGGACUUGAAGGCACACUUUUGGUGGAAUGGAAUGAAGCGGGACAUUGGCAGAUAUGUGGCUCAGUGUCUGACUUGCCAACAAGUAAAGGCAGAGCAUCAGGUGCUUGCUGGCAAGCUUCAGAACCUGCCAGUGCCCGAGUGGAAAUGGGAGCAGAUUACGAUGGACUUUGUCGUGGGAUUACCUAGAGCAUAGGGUGGUUUCGAUGUUAUUUGGGUGAUAGUAGACAGGCUAACCAAGUCUGCUCACUUCCUAUCAGUACAGACCACCUGGUCGAGAGAGAGACUCGCUUAGCUAUACUUGGAUGAGAUUGUUAGAUUGCAUGGUGUGCCUAUUUUGAUAGUAUCGGAUCGAGACCCGAGAUUUGUCUCGCAUUUCUGGAAGAGUCUUAAGACGGCCUUGGGUACACAGCUACAUUUCAGCACAACAUUUCACCCACAGACAGAUGGUCAGUCAUAGUGGACAAUUCAGACUCUGGAGGACAUACUGAGAGCAUGUGUCCUGAACUUUGGAGGAGGGUGGCAUCGACAUUUGAGACUGGUUGAGUUUGCAUACAACAACCGCUAUCAAACGAGCAUUCAGAUGACUCCGUUUAAAGUGUUGUAUGGACGCAGGUGUUCAUCCCCUUUGCAUUAGAGUGAUGUGGGUGCAAGGAACACUCUGGGACCUGAGAUUCUGAUAGAGGCAGAGGAGAAGGUCAAGGUUGCGCAACGAUACAUUUUGACAGCCCAGAGUCGACAGAGGAGCUACGCCGAUACCAGGAGACGAGACUUAGAGUUUCAGGUUGGAGAUCGUGUGUUUUUGAAAGUCUCGCCGUCCCGAGGGAUACACAGAUUCAGAGUACGUGGAAAGCUCAGUCCGCGCUUUGUAGGCCCUUUUGAGGUAUUGGAGUGAGUCGGACCAGUAGCAUACAGGAUUGCUCUACCCCCAGGAUUGGCCGGCAUUCAUGAUAUAUUUCACGUCUCAGUUUUGAGGAGAUACGUGUUCGACCCCUCCCACGUGAUUGACUUCACUCCACUGGAGGACUUGAGAUAUGGGGAGCGACCGGUGCGAAUUCGGGCACGUGAGAUGAAAGAAUUACGCAACCGGGUCAUUCCUUAUGUAAAAGUGCAGUGGAGCAAUCACGAGGAGCGUGAGGCGACGUGGGAGCCGGAGAUGGUGAUGCAGGAGUCCUAUCCCUACUUGUUCGAGACUCAGGUUUGAGGUAUGCUUCUAAGUUUCGAGGACGAAAGUUUUUAUAGUGGGGGAAGAUGUAGUAUACCUGGUGUUCUGUAGCCUGUGUGAUUUCAGCAUCUGAGGCUUGUCGACACAUCUGGAGAGUGUCGGGACCAAUCGGAGUCGUUUUGGCGCGAAAUGGACACAAAACGGAGUCAACGCGAGGCGAGAGUAGAGUUCUGACGCUGAAACCCGCAAAGUGCAGGAUUUCAGUGUUGAGUACCGGUACGGUAUCGGGCUGGUACUGGUACCCUGUGUGUGAGCUUGCGGGCUAAGAGGCCGAGUACCGGUAACCAAAUCGGGUACCGGUACUUUAGCUGUUUUUUGAGUUGGUAAAGGGGUAUGGUGGUCAUUUGUGGUGAUGGUUAUCCACGCCACCUACUCCCUUAUAUUUAUCCACUUGAGAGAGAUUAAUUAUCUCAUGUUCAUCUCUCUAGUUUUAAUGGUGUGCUUGGUGGAGGCUACGGCUUGAGCUCGGAUCGACGUCGACGUUGCGUCGGGGAGCCGUUCGAGCGCGAGGAUGUCGCGGUUGCACCGUUGGAGGCCGGACGAGCGUGUGUUUUCCCUUCUCUCGACUUCUCGCCGUUGUUGGACUAACUUUUCGAGGUGGGUUGAAGUUUACCAAAAUUGCCGAAAUAUCUCCUAAGUUUUUAUAUCGUCAACAUGUAUCAUAUGUUUAUUUUCUUGCUAGUACUCGAAUUCAUGGAUUAGGCUUAAAAUAUGAAUUUGGAGUUAAGUAGUAGUAGUAUAAUUUUACAUGUUGGACUUGAAAUUGACUUAGGAGAAAACUGUAAAUCCUACACUGUCAUUUUCUGAAAACUACCAGAUUUAGCGUUAGAUGCUGUGGUUUGUUUGUAUUGCCGCAAUUUGUAUGCGGUAGAUACUCAGAUUAGUGUAGGAGGGGUUUACGCUCGUACUGGGAUACCGAGUUUAUUUUACAAUAGUGUGUAGACUGUUUCGGACUGUCGGGUGUCGUCGCGGUUGAUGGUGGACCGAGAUUUCUGUAUUUGCAUUAGAUUGUGCCAAGGGUACGUGAGUUUUAGUUGUUAGACCCAUUUGCUUUGAUUAUAGCCUGUGAGAGCCUGAUUGAGCUCAGUAGAGACAUACUUGCAUACUCGAUUUGGUAGCGCCCACAAGUGCCACUCCGGAGUUGGGCUUUGUGCUUUUGCUUUGUUGUCGAAGCAGUCCUGUUUGGAUGGUGCUUUAGGACAGGCCACCUCAGUGAUGGUGUGCGAUAUAGCUCGGUGCUUUAGGACCGGCCACCUCAGUGGUGGUGUGCGGUAUAGCUCGGAAGCAGGCGGGAUGGGCCUGUUGGCAGUCCCUUGACAGUAUAGUCGUUAUUGCAGGGGAUGCAUAUCUAUAGAUAGUUAGAGUUGAUUAGUGAUAGUAUAGUGGCAUAUAGCUGUAGAGUUUUACCAGCUUCCUUUAUUAUCCUUCGCACACUUUCUAUAGACUUAGUGGGUGAGCCGUUGAGGUCGGUAGCGGUACCCAUUGAGGACUAGUUCUUCUUGCAGUAGUUCUCACACCCAGUUGUUGAUCCCUUUUCGCAGAGCCUUUUUUUGUGGCUGUUGCUGUCACCGAUACUGAUCGUGGAAGGGGAGUUGCGAACUAGAUCCCUUCCCUGGUUGCAGUACUAGAGGAGUAUCAGCUGCAGAUAGUUUUGGUUUUUGGUUCAUGUACAUACUUAUGUUGUUACUCGCUGGAGCGAGAGAUGUUGUAUCAGGGAGACUUUGUAUGUAUGGUGAACCUGUUGUUUAUUUAUAUACAGUUCAGUUUAGCAGCUCUAUACUACUAGUUGUAGUUUUGUAUGAUUACAGAUACAGGUACAGUUAUCGCUUUGUAUACAGAGAAAAUUCUUUAAUUUGUAUACGACGGGUCUGUUUGCGUGCCAGGGAAAACGUGGUAAUCCGGGACGUGACAGAUAGGUAGCACGCUAUUCGUUUCGUUUAUUUCAGUUAGAAAUAAACUUAGCUGAAAAUGUGAAUAAAUUAGGAUUCGAACUUGGGAUCUCGGAUACCAACUAUCAAGUCCUUUGCCACAUGCUCUAGGGACGGUCGAUG